AGCUGCCGCGCAUCGAGGGACGCGGCGGUCUCGUCGCCGUCGAUGCGAAGGGCAACGUCGUGCUUCCGUUCAACACGGAAGGCAUGUA
rnacentral:tRNA from 1 species